GAUGACAUGAGUAGCGACAAAGGGAGUGAGAGACUCCCUCGCCGAAAGUCCAAGGGUUCCUGCUUAAAGCUAAUCUGAGCAGGGUAAGCCGACCCCUAAGGCGAGGCCGAAAGGCGUAGUCGAUGGGAACCAGGUUAAUAUUCCUGGGCCAUGAGGUGGUGACGGAUCGCAGGUGUUGUUCAUCCUUAUUGGAUUGAAUGAGCAGCUGAGCGGUUCCUGGAAAUAGCCCCUCUAUAAGAUCGUACCCUAAACCGACACAGGUGGAUAGGUAGAGAAUACCAAGGCGCUUGAGAGAACUA
rnacentral:rRNA from 1 species